AACGAACGCUGGCGGCGUGGAUAAGACAUGCAAGUCGAACGAUCACUAUUGGGUAGCAAUAUUUGGUAGUGGGAGUGGCGCAAGGGUGCGUAACACGUGGGUAAUUUGCCGUAAAGUCUGGGAUAACUUGCUGAAAGGCGAGCUAAUACCGGAUGUGAUUGCUGGGGGGCAUCCUCUGGCACUUAAAGUCGGGGGCCGUAAGGCCUGACACUUUUCGAUAAGCCCGCGGCCUAUCAGCUAGUUGGUGAGGUAACGGCUCACCAAGGCUAAGACGGGUAGCUGGUCUGAGAGGACGACCAGCCACACUGGAACUGAGACACGGUCCAGACACCUACGGGUGGCAGCAGUCGAGAAUUUUUCUCAAUGGGGGAAACCCUGAAGGAGCGACGCCGCGUGGGGGAUGAAUGGCUUCGGCCCGUAAACCCCUGUCAUUUGCGAUCAGACCUUGCGAUUUAAUAGAUCGCGGGCUGAUAGUAUCGGAAGAGGAAGGGACGGCUAACUCUGUGCCAGCAG
rnacentral:rRNA from 1 species